rnacentral:rRNA from 1 species
UGGGGAAUAUUGGGCAAUGGGCGAAAGCCUGACCCAGCGACGCCGCGUGAGGGAAGAAGGUCUUCGGAUUGUAAACCUUUGUUGAUAGGGACGAACAGAUGACGGUACCUAUCGAGGAAGCCACGGCUAACUACGUGCCAGCAGCCGCGGUAAUACGUAGGUGGCAAGCGUUGUCCGGAUUUACUGGGCGUAAAGGGAGCGUAGGCGGAUUUUUAAGUGAGAUGUGAAAUACCCGGGCUUAACUUGGGUGCUGCAUUUCAAACUGGAAGUCUAGAGUGCAGGAGAGGAGAAGGGAAUUCCUAGUGUAGCGGUGAAAUGCGUAGAGAUUAGGAAGAACACCAGUGGCGAAGGCGCUUCUCUGGACUGUAACUGACGCUGAGGCUCGAAAGCGUGGGGAGCAAACAGG